rnacentral:rRNA from 1 species
AUACGUAGGAUCCGAGCGUUAUCCGGAUUUAUUGGGUUUAAAGGGUGCGCAGGCGGCCAUUUAAGUCAGCGGUUAAAUCGUGGGGCUCAACCCCAUUCUGCCGUUGAUACUGGGUGGCUUGAUUGCGGUCGAGGUUGGCGGAAUUCGUUGUGUAGCGGUGAAAUGCAUAGAUAUGACGAAGAACACCGAUUGCGUAGGCAGCUGACCAGACCGCAAAUGACGCUCAUGCACGAAAGUGCGGGGAUCGAACAGGAUUAGAUACCCUGGUAGUCCGCACAGUAAACGAUGAAUACUUGUUUUCGGCGAUAUAAUGUCGGAGGCAAAGCGAAAGCGAUAAGUAUUCCACCUGGGGAGUACGCCGGCAACGGUGAAACUCAAAGGAAUUGACGGGG